GUGAUUGACAAGCUAAAUCUAUUCCAUUAAUUGGUUUAAAUUACGAAUAUAUUCUCCUUAAUUCUAUGUUUUCCUCCUAUAUAACCCAAUGGGGAGUGAUCAUUUCAUCAUUCACUAAACCAGAGCAAAAUCAUUGAUCCUUCCCAAAACUUAGAAAUUCACCAUGGCUGCGAUGAACCAUAUCUCAGACCUGAGACCUUUCCAAUCAAUGUAAGGCUAAGGUAAUUUUGAUCCGGCUAUGGAAGUAGUUUUCAGCUGUGGGUGGUGAGACAAUUGAGUUGGUCUUUGUAUGCUAAACUGACAAGAUUCAUAGAACCGUGAAGAAGGACGAAGUGCGGCAAUUCGUCCGUGUGUUGCAGCAGGGGGUCUAUGAUGUUGCAUGGUGGUUCAUCUCAGCAUUCUGAGUCUAAUGAUCUGACACCAGCCAAGAUCAGGACUUUGUUACAAGAUCAGCGUGUACUAUAAAUGUAAAGAAGGAGAAGUUCGAAAAAGUGGGUCGAGUGAGACUAGGCGUUAUGGGAGGUGUGAGCAGAGGCUUAUGUUUGCAUUACUUCUUUGAGUUUUUUUCCGUUUUUGUUUUAAA